CGUUCCUAUGGGGUGGACAACUCGUGUGCCAACUGCGGCGUUUGCGGGAGCCGGUCGCGUCAUGAUGGGUUUGCUGGCAGUGAUGGUGGUGGUGUCUCUAAGUGCGCAGCUGUGCAGCUGUGCGCAGUCGUAUUCACAGGCGCAGUCGCAGUACCCGAGGUAUCUCAAGUUUCCUGUGGGGAGAGAUCCCGAUACAGAAUGUAUGGAUUAUCAAGUUAACAAGCGCUUCAAAGUUGGCGAGGUCUGGACAUCGCGCUACUCCGGCUGCAAGCAGAGCCACUGUAUUCGAGAAAAGGGUGUGCUCUACAUCGACAGGUUUCAAUGCCCUUCGGUUCAAGACAAAGUGGACUACAAGAGGCUGAAGGCCGAUAAUCUGUUCUGUCGAGAGGCAAGAGGAGAUCGACGGAAACCAUUUCCAGAUUGUUGUGCCCGCCUGGUGUGCAAAUACUACUUCAACGGGAAAUUGGUUCCCCUGCCGCUGCAUAAGUAUCCCUACCUGUGAGAUCUUAUACGCGCACAGAUCGGCUGAAGCUGAAGACACAGGACUCUACCACCUAUGUCGUCUUUCUGUGAGGUCCAUUGCACCUCUCAUGUUGGCUGUUCAAUGCAAAGGAGGAAGACAAAGCCUUUGAGGUACUGUUUCGUGAUAUUUAUUUGCAUAGAUCUGUAAUCAUAACGUGUAGGCAUCCUAAUUUAUUGUAUUGAUUUUGAUUUUGAUUGGUGUGUUAUAGCUUUUGCUACUGCAGAGUUGGAAAACAUUUUAACACAUUGAUGUUAUUAUAGUGUAUGCGGUGCGAUGCAUGUCGUGAUCAUGAUGUUAACAUAUUUUGAAUCCACUUUUGUAAUCAUUA